rnacentral:piRNA from 1 species
UGUCCUGCACAGUACGAGUAUUGGAGAA